rnacentral:rRNA from 3 species
UGUUUGAUGUUCUAACGUGGACCCGUUACCCGGGUUGCGGACAGUGUCUGGUGGGUAGUUUGACUGGGGCGGUCUCCUCCUAAAGAGUAACGGAGGAGCACGAAGGUUGGCUAAUCCUGGUCGGACAUCAGGAGGUUAGUGCAAUGGCAUAAGCCAGCUUGACUGCGAGCGUGACGGCGCGAGCAGGUGCGAAAGCAGGUCAUAGUGAUCCGGUGGUUCUGAAUGGAAGGGCCAUCGCUCAACGGAUAAAAGGUACUCCGGGGAUAACAGGCUGAUACCGCCCAAGAGUUCAUAUCGACGGCGGUGUUUGGCACCUCGAUGUCGGCUCAUCACAUCCUGGGGCUGAAGUAGGUCCCAAGGGUAUGGCUGUUCGCCAUUUAAAGUGGUACGCGAGCUGGGUUUAGAACGUCGUGAGACAGUUCGGUCCCUAUCUGCCGUGGGCGCUGGAGAACUGAGGGGGGCUGCUCCUAGUACGAGAGGACCGGAGUGGACGCAUCACUGGUGUUCGGGUUGUCAUGCCAAUGGCACUGCCCGGUAGCUAAAUGCGGAAGAGAUAAGUGCUGAAAGCAUCUAAGCACGAAACUUGCCCCGA